rnacentral:rRNA from 1 species
AUUGAACGCUGGCGGCAGGCCUAACACAUGCAAGUCGAACGAGUGGCGGACGGGUGAGUAAUGUCUGGGAAACUGCCUGAUGGAGGGGGAUAACUACUGGAAACGGUCGCUAAUACCGCAUACCAUCAGAUGUGCCCAGCUGGGAUUAGCUUGUUGGUGGGGUAACGGCCCACCAAGGCGACGAUCCCUAGCUGGUCUGAGAGGGUGACCGGCCACACUGGAACUGAGACACGUUCCUGAUCCCUACGGGAGGCAGCAGGGGGGAAUAUUGCACAGUGGGCGCAAGCCUGAUGCGGCCAUGCCUGGGGUGUGAAGAAGGCCUUGGGGUUGUAAAGUACUUUCUGCGGGGAGGGGUUACCAGCAGAAGAAGCCCCGGCUAACUCCGUGCCAGCCGCCGCGUUAAUC